rnacentral:rRNA from 1 species
UGAAUACGAGACGCUAAGGCGUCGAAGUAGUGUAUGUCAUACUUCCAAGAAAAGCUUGCACUGUCAUAAGUAAAAAAUGCCUGUACCAUAACCGACACAGGUGGGUAGGUAGAGUAUACUAAGGGGCGCGAGAUAACUCUCUCUAAGGAACUCGGCAAAAUAACUCCGUAACUUCGGGAGAAGGAGUACCUUAUUCUAUAAGGUUGCAAUAACAAGAUCCAAGCAACUGUUUAUCAAAAACACAGGUCUCCGCUAAGUCGUAAGACGAUGUAUGGGGGCUGACGCCUGCCCAGUGCCAGAAGGUUAAAGAAGUCGGUUAGCAUUAGCGAAGCUGGUAACUGAAGCCCUGGUGAACGGCGGCCGUAACUAUAACGGUCCUAAGGUAGCGAAAUUCCUUGUCGGGUAAGUUCCGACCCGCACGAAAGGCGUAAUGAUUUGGAUACUGUCUCGGAGAGGGGCUCGGUGAAAUAGACUUGUCUGUGAAGAUGCGGACUACCUGCACCAGGACAGAAAGACCCUAUGAAGCUUUACUGUAACUUGAAAUUGAAAUUGGACUUUAUUCGCGCAGUAUAGGUGGGAGGUGUUGAUUAUAAUCUUGCGGGAUUAUUGGAGCCAUCAGUGAGAUACCACUCUUGUAAUGUUAGAUUUCUAACUUUGAAUCAUUAUCUGGUCAAAGGACAGUUUCAGGCAGGCAGUUUGACUGGGGCGGUCGCCUCCCAAACGGUAACGGAGGCGUACAAAGGUUUCCUCUGAACGGGUAGAAAUCGUAUCUAGAGUGUAAAGGCAUAAGGAAGCUUGACUGUGUGACCUACAAGUCGAACAGGGACGAAAGUCGGUCUUAGUGAUCUGACGGUACUGAGUGGAAAGGCCGUCACUCAACGGAUAAAAGUUACUCUAAGGAUAACAGGCUGAUCUCCCCCAAGAGUUCACAUCGACGGGGAGGUUUGGCACCUCGAUGUCGGCUCAUCGCAUCCUGGGGCGGUAGUACGUCCCAAGGGUUGGGCUGUUCGCCCAUGAAAGCGGUACGCGAGCUGGGUUCAGAACGUCGUGAGACAGUUCGUUCCAUAUCCGGUGUAGGCGUUAGAAUAUUGAGAGGAGCCUUCUUUAGUACGAGAGGACCGAGAAAGACAUACCUCUGGUGUACCAGUUAUCGUGCCAACGGUAAACGCUGGGUAGCUAUGUAUGGAGUGGAUAACCGCUGAAAGCAUCUAAGUGGGAAGCCCACCUCAAGAUAAG